GGGGAGUGGAGAGGAGGGAAGUGGGUGGAAGGGGUAGCAGCUGCAGCCCUCAGCGUCCAGCUAUGGGUUAGGUUGCCAGGUUUGUGGUUACCUGCCCUGGCUCAUGCACACGCAGGACCUCAGACUUUAUGGUCCCAGUGCCCAUGUGCCCAGGACAAGGCCUCCACUUCCACAGGCAAAUCCACCCAGUUCCUGACAUUCCCGACAUGUGCAUGCAGAUGAGAUCACUGGCCUUUCAUGAGCCAGGCCCUGUCUGGCCCCAAGCUGCUCUGGCCCAUGGGAACCCUUGGCUUCAGGAUUCAGAGGUGAGCAUCUCCUGCCCAGCCCCUGUCCCCUCUUGCUCCCCACUGUGCCCAGCCCCACAGGGUGCUUCCCCUAGUGCAAAGGCUCUGCCCCCCACCACUGCAGGGACCUCCAAGGGUCCCAGCCUGCUGGCCUGGCCCUGUCCCAGACAUAGUCCAGUCCGGGUCCUCUGCACACUCAGGGGCUUCAGGCAGCCCAGAGGUGUGGUCUUCUCAGAGGGGUCUUCUCAGUCCCCUCUGGGCUCCUUACCGGGGACUGAGAACCUGUCCUUCCUCCUUUCUUCCCUCUUAUGCCAGCGUAACAGGCACUACAAAAUGAAAUAUUUAAAGAUAGGUUUUUUUCUUUAGAGACAGAUUCUCCAGACUUCCUCGGGGCAUAAAUGCCCACCUCCAGCUCUCCUCCGCUCUGAUGAAUGGACAAAAUCUGCAGAUGCUGCCCCCAGGAGGUCAGGUCCAUUUUCCUUUCCCCAGAGGGGAAGGAAAGGAGAGGUUUGGGUCCAGGAAGGGAUAAAACAAGCAUGAAUGUAUCUCCUGACUCCUCAGAUCCCUUCCUCCACUGUCCCUUGCUAUAAAAGACCCCCAACUCACCUGCACACAGGGAGAUAGAUGGUGUUUUGAGGCAAAUGGGCCCUCAUCUCCUUGGUGCCAGCUUUGAGAAGUCUUUUUUCCUUUUUACCAAAACAAAUGGUCAUGAUUUGGUCAGCAGUGAGCAAAGGAACCUGAGCAUAUGGACCUAAGCAGCCAGUAACACCGGGACCCCCAGCCCAUGCCCGAGGGGAGACAGAGACCCACCUGCCAGACUCCAGGCUGCUCCUGGACCUCAGAGGCCCCAGGUGGCUGAGUUCAAGGUAACAGCUCAAAGGAAGGCCAUGAGGCCGAGGGACCUAUGAGCCCACCCUGGGAAGGCCACAGGCCCAGCCCCCUGGAAAGAUGUAGAGGACACAGGACAUAAUGCUAUGCAGAAAGGCACAGGGACCAGUGGAUGGCAGCCUCAUGGGUGAGAUUCUGGGUCCCAUAGGGGACUGACCAUGAACAGUGGCCUUGAGAGAAGACUGGCUCCAGCCUCCAUGUAACAGAUGGCAGGACAGUACAGUGAUGACAGUGCCCAGGCUAGGGUGGGAGGGAGGUCAGCGUCAGUCUGGGGGUGGGUGCCAUACAGGUCCAACCUUCCCCAUAGGGUCUGGGCAGUAUGCUGGGGCUCCUGGCCACUCUCUGGGGCUCCUGUCCUCCCUACUCUGAGAUGUAGGAAGGGGCCCCUAGGGUCUGGGGACCCCACACUUGAGGACAUCACCCCAGGCUUACCUCUAUUCAUCCUUGCCCCCUCUCCCCUGCUGCACCCCAUUAGGACUUGGGCCAGCAACCUUCAUAGCAUGGGACUGGAUACAGAGGGUGGGGUACAGUGCAAGAUGCCAGAUAAGGCCUGGGAAUAUUUCUCCUGCCAACCCUAAUUGCUGGCAGUGACUCGAACUCUGACCUCUGCCCUUGACCCAGAGGGAGGUUGAGGCAGGGAGACUGGGGUCAGGGAGCAGUCAGGGCUUCAGAGAACUCUGCUCAGGCCUGAUGGUUGGAGGGGGCUUCAGUCCCAGUCUGUCCUACAGUUCUUUGAAGGGUUCUGGGAGGACCACAUAGCUGAAUCUUCUGCCCCUAGUGCUGGGACUCCCAUAUUCCAUUCUGUGCCUCAACACUGUGGUCUCGGGGUUAAACAUUGCUCCUCCCCAGUACUGCCCCCGCCAGGCCCCCAGCCUAGCCCAGUCCACUGCUGCUUCCCUCACAGGCCAAGGACCCCUUCCCAUAUCCCCCACCCCCUUGCUAGACAGCCUCUUCCUCAGGUGGGUCAUGAGUCCGAUUUGGGAGCCGAAGGGUCCCCACCCCCGUCUGCCUUGCCUCUUCCACGUCCCUCCCAGCCCAGGGCCUGGUGAGGGCAGUGGUCCAUCAAGCCAAGGGGCCACAAGUGGACACAGGGGAAACACACUGAAUGUGGGUGACCCCAGGCUCCUCCCUCACCUGAGUCCUCAAGGAAGGGCAAGCCCCUGCUCCUCCUCCCUCUCCCACCUGCUUCCUGAGCCAGGUGUGGUCUAAGUGACCUCUUUCCUGACGUUCUCACAACUCUUUCUUGGGGCACCUUCGGCCUCCCAGAGAUCAACUUCCCAGCUUCCUAUUGUGGCCCCAAUGCCUUCAUGUGACUGAGCCCUGAGCUGAGGGUACAAACCAAUGCUUCCUCAUCCCAGUGUCCCGGGAGGGUGUGACAGCAAGAUCCCCAUGUUUCUGCCUGUGAUACCAGCCACCUCUGGGGUACUUCUUGUGCUGUGAGACUCGCACGACACCAGGGGUAAAGGAUGCCUGGUAGGAUUGCUUUUCACACUGACUUCUGGGGUGAGGCCCCAACUCUGGGAGCCUCUGCAUUUAGGUUUCCUGAUGCUUGAGGCCCGGGGAAAAAGAUUGGCAAACCAGCUAUAAUGGUGCACACCUGUAAUCCCAGCACUCUGGGAGGCUGAGGCAGGAAGAUCAUAAAUUCAAGCCCAGCCUGAGCAAUUUAGCAACUUGAAGAGAGCCUGUCUCAAAAAAGAAAGGCUAGGGACAUAGUAUGAAGGCCCUGAGUUCAAUCCCGAGUAAUUUUUUUUUUUUUUGAAUGCUAGCAUGACUGUCGGAGGCCAGACAGCUUUCCAGGGAUGGGCUUCUGCCACCCCUGAGUCCUGCAGGCACUGCAGAGGUGGAGCUGAUGACACUCAGAAACCCCCCUGGAAAAAGGACAAACUCCUGGGCCCUUAACCUGUUAAUCAUUAUGCAUGAUUUGUGUUCUGAAAGUCAGGGCCUUAAAAAUGGUUUUUGCUAAAAGCAAAACAGAACAAAAAACUGUGACUGUUCAGUUGGGCCUACAGAUGCCCAGUGGUACCUAAAAGUAGCACAGAGCUUGACCUUCAUUUUGUAUUCUUAUUACCUUAAACUUUGGAUAUAGUUGUGUCACUAGACAGGGUCCAAGGAGGUCCCCAAGGCAGAGAUGGGGACCUUGACUCACAUAACCCAUGAGAUAGGUCGCACGUUUCCUGACUUCAUUGCAGAAAAAGAAAUUUUCAGGAUGGACCAGUAAGAAACAUAAAGGGAUUUAUUAGGCAGAAUUUUAAAAGUACACACUGAAGGAAAGAGUUGGAGCCCUUAAGAGAGAAUUGCAUUAUCUUCUGGAACUGGGAACAAUUAUGUUAUCUCCUGAAGACAUGGAAACCUAUGGAAAAGAUGGCCCACCCCACCCCCCAGGAAGAUAAUAGCCCAUUUUACAGGAUAUGAAAGCCCAGCUACAGAAUAACUCCAGUUUGGCCUCCGGUCACAACUGAGACUUCAGGGAUCCAGUGACGCUGUGAUUCUCCAGGACAAGAAACAUCCUGGGAGAACAAACAUCUGCUCAGUUCCUCAUUGUUCUUGGACUGAUUAACAUCUUGUUUGCCGGCGAUGUACUGAACUCUCUGCAAGCCUUCCGUUACACCUUGUUUAUCCCAAUGUGAACUAUUGAACUCUCUGCAAGUCAUCUGUUACAUUUGUUUCUCCCGAUGUACUGAAUAAAAGGUGUGGUAAGCUGGGGGCUUUUGUCUUUGCUGCCCAGAGCAGCACUGAUCAGACCCAAAGCUCA
ensembl:lncRNA